rnacentral:lncRNA from 1 species
UAUUAAACCUCUUUCGAUAUCCUUUAAACUUUAAGCAUUUAAUACAAUUUGCAUUCUUUUUCCAAAUGAAUAUACAUCAUAAACUCUCCAAAACCUCACCCUAUACAAUAUCUACUCUCAUAAUGUAACAAAAGUACAGGGUAGAGCUAAUGCAAGUAGGAAAGGUACAGCUAUCAACCACACUGCUAGGGCGCUAAGCCCUUGCCGCGAUCCAUCGAUGAAGGCC